UACGUAGGGUGCGAGCGUUAAUGGGAAUUACUGGGCGUAAAGCGCGCGUAGGCGGCUUUGCAAGUCGGGUGUGAAAUCCCCAGGCUUAACCUGGGAACUGCAUUCGAGACUGCAUUGCUAGAGUAUGGGAGAGGGAAGUGGAAUUUCCGGUGUAGCGGUGAAAUGCGUAGAUAUCGGAAGGAACAUCAGUGGCGAAAGCGACUUCCUGGACCAAUACUGACGCUCAUGUGCGAAAGCGUGGGGAGCAAACAGG
rnacentral:rRNA from 1 species